CGGUUGUUUGUUUUGGUCACCAUUGUUGGAGUAGUUUCAGUUUCGAUUAGGAACCUCAGCUGAUAGGCAUUAGCCUGGUUUAAAAAGCGGCUGGUGCUCUGUAGUGGCAGCCUCUUGGUGUGAAGACUUGGGGUGCAAAGACAAGGGAGUCUACUUAUGGGAGUCCACCAAGAAAGGCCACUAGUACAGUUGUCUGCAAGAGAUGAUGUGUCCAACAUGUCAACCAUUAAAGCCUUCUGCUGUAGGUGAGCUGUGUGACUUUGCCACCACUGGAGACCUGGGUGCUCUUGCUGCCACUGUAACCUAGUCUAUCCUCACCUGUCAAACCCUCCAUCUUGCUUUAAUUUCUCCAUGGGACUCUGGAACUGCCAGCCUGCUGUGAGAAAGGCUGACUUCAUACCAGCCUAUGCCUCCCAUCUCUCACUGGGCCUCCUGGCCCUAACUGAAACCUGGAUCACACCAGACAACUCAGCCACACCUGCAGCACUCUCCACUAACUAUUCCUUCUCUCACACCCCUUGUUACUCCGGCAGAGGUGGAGGCACAGGCCUGCUCAUCUCUCCCUGGUGGGAAUACUCUAUUCUGCCUCUUCACUUGCAUGAUCUGUCCUCAUUUGAAUGGUAUGCUGUCUCUAUCACUGCCCCAAUUACUCUUGUUGUGGUUAUUCUUUAUCGCUCUCCUGGCCCUCUUGGCUGCUUCUUGGAUGACCUUGACAUCUUGCUGAGCCCUCUGCCAGGGGACAACACUCCAUUCAUUCUCCUGGGUGACUUCAACCUGCAUUUUGAUGACAUUCGUGCAAGUGGCCUUCUGUUGCUCCUACAGUCCUUUGAUCUCUCCCUGUCCCAGUCCCCUACUACUCACAAAGAGGGAAACUCUCUUGACCUUGUAUUUUUCUGCAACUGUGGCUGUCCCAUCCUCUCUGUCACUCCGUUGUAUGUCCUGACCACUUCAGUUCCUUUCAAACCUGCCUCACCACUGAUUCCUCCCUUCUUUCUGCUCCUGUUGUCACCCUUUGUUGCAACUUUAAAAUCUCUCUCACUUUCCUGCUUUGCUUCUGCUACUCUGUCCUCCCUCCCUUCUGCUGCACAAUUCUCAGAUCUAUUAACAGAUGACGCCACUAACAUUUUCCUCUCUGCCUUUUCUUCCUCCCUUGACUCGCUCUGUCUUCUGGACCGGCAUUCUCCAUUGUUACCCCAUGGUUGUCUGAUACGUUAUGUGCUAACAGGACUAAACUGCAGGCGGCAGAGCGAAGAUGGCGUAAAUUCAAAACUCCACUGGACCUGGAUACCUACUGGUCACUCUUAGCUGCUUUUCACUCUGCUGUCUCUUCAGCUAAAACCUCCUUCUCCCACAACAAAAU
rnacentral:lncRNA from 1 species